UAAUUGCAUUUAUCGGAAAGCAUCAGUUGCUCGCCUCGUUUGCCACUGGGCAGGCCUGUUAUUAAAAUAUGCAUAAAAUGUUAUUUACGCGCUAGAAAAGAAAGUACGGCGAUUGAGGAAUAAAUUCAGAAAGGCUAGAGUAAAACAGCAUCUUCAGAACCAAUACCAGAUGUAGACGAAAUGUUCGGGCUGUGAAACGUACUGUGCCCUUCAACAGUUAUUGAAUCCUCGUUCUGUACUUCUAACACUCCGGCGCUGAUGAUGAUAUAAUCGUCGAAAGCUCGGGACAAACUUAAAGAAAUGUCGUUUCUCUUGUGACCUCACCGAAGAUCUAUUCGUGUUGUUCAACAAACAGGUCGAUAC